AGUGCAGUGGGUUGCCUUCUCGAC
rnacentral:siRNA from 1 species